GGAGGGAUGCCCGAGUGGUUAAAGGGGGCAGACUGUAAAUCUGUUGCCAGCCGGCUACGAAGGUUCAAAUCCUUCUCCCUCCA
rnacentral:tRNA from 1 species